rnacentral:rRNA from 1 species
UACGUAGGGUGCGAGCGUUGUCCGGAAUUAUUGGGCGUAAAGAGUUCGUAGGCGGUCUGUCGCGUCCGUUGUGAAAGCCUGGGGCUCAACCCCAGGUCUGCAGUGGAUACGGGCAGACUAGAGUCAGGUAGGGGAGAACGGAAUUCCAGGUGUAGCGGUGAAAUGCGUAGAUAUCUGGAGGAACACCGGUGGCGAAGGCGGCAUCCUGGACCGGCAUUGACGCUGAGGAGCGAAAGCCAGGGGAGCAAACGGG